rnacentral:rRNA from 1 species
GCACAAGCGGAGGAACAUGUGGUUUAAUUUCGAUGAUACGCGAGGAACUUACCUGGGCUUAAAUGGGGAGUGACAGCUGUCGAAAGAUGGUUUUCUUCGGACACUCUUCAAGGUGCUGCAUGGUUGUCGUCAGCUCGUGCCGUGAGGUGUCGGGUUAAGUCCCAUAACGAGCGCAACCCUUACCGUUAGUUACCAUCAGGUUAAGCUGGGGACUCUAGCGGGACUGCCACCGUAAGGUGAGAGGAAGGUGGGGAUGACGUCAAAUCAGCACGGCCCUUAUGUCCAGGGCUACACACGUGUUACAAUGGCCAGUACAAAGGGCAGCUACCGGGUGACCGGAUGCUAAUCUCUAAAGCUGGUCUCAGUUCGGAUCGAAGUCUGCAACCCGACUUCGUGAAGCUGGAUUCGCUAGUAAUCGCGGAUCAGCACGCCGCGGUGAAUACGUUCCCGGGCCUU